rnacentral:rRNA from 1 species
GUCUAUGACCAAAUCACCCAGAAUGUGUCCUACCUCGUCAGAUCUCGGUAUCGCAGCAGGCUUGAGCCUGGAUAAUAUUUGAAUGGGUGAACACUAUGCAUGCCAGGGUGUGAUAGGCA